GGUCCUACGGGAGGCAGCAGUAGGGAAUUUUCGUCAAUGGGCGCAAGCCUGAACGAGCAAUGCCGCGUGAACGAGGAAGGUCUUCGGAUCGUAAAGUUCUGUUGAAGGGGAAAAAGAGCGGAGAGAGGAAAUGGUCUCCGAUUGAUAUUACCCUUCGAGGAAGUCACGGCUAACUACGUGCCAGCAGCCGCGGUAAUACAUAGGGAGCGAGCGUUAUCCGGAUUUAUUGGGUGUAAAGGGUGCGUAGACGGGAAUACAAGUUGGUUGUGAAAGCCCUCGGCUUAACUGAGGAACUGCAACCAAAA
rnacentral:rRNA from 1 species